GAUGAACGCUGGCGGCGUGCCUAACACAUGCAAGUCGAGCGAUUCUCUUCGGAGAAGAGCGGCGGACGGGUGAGUAACGCGUGGGUAACCUGCCCUGUACACACGGAUAACAUACCGAAAGGUAUGCUAAUACGAGAUAAUAUACUUUUAUCGCAUGGUAGAAGUAUCAAAGCUCCGGCGGUACAGGAUGGACCCGCGUCUGAUUAGCUAGUUGGUAAGGUAACGGCUUACCAAGGCGACGAUCAGUAGCCGACCUGAGAGGGUGAUCGGCCACAUUGGAACUGAGACACGGUCCAAACUCCUACGGGAGGCAGCAGUGGGGAAUAUUGCACAAUGGGCGAAAGCCUGAUGCAGCAACGCCGCGUGAGCGAUGAAGGCCUUCGGGUCGUAAAGCUCUGUCCUCAAGGAAGAUAAUGACGGUACUUGAGGAGGAAGGCCCCGGCUAACUACGUG
rnacentral:rRNA from 1 species